rnacentral:rRNA from 1 species
CAAUAGCGUAUAUUAAAGUUGUUGCAGUUAAAAAGCUCGUAGUUGGAUCUCUGGCAGGAGCGACCGGUCACACACUCUGUGUGUGAACUUGCGUUGUCUCUGGCCAUCCUUGGGAAGAUCCUGUUUGGCAUUAAGUUGUCGGGCAGGGGAUACCCAUCGUUUACUGUGAAAAAAUUAGAGUGUUUAAAGCAGGCUUAUGCCGUUGAAUAUAUUAGCAUGGAAUAAUAAGAUAGGACUUCGGAACUAUUUUGUUGGUUUGCGUUACGAAGUAAUGAUUAAUAGGGACAGUUGGGGGUAUUCGUAUUUCGUUGUCAGAGGUGAAGUUCUUGGAUUUCCGAAAGACGAACUACUGCGAAAGCAUUUACCAAGGAUGUUUUCAUUAA